AGUGGGGAAUUUUGGACAAUGGGGGCAACCCUGAUCCAGCCAUGCCGCGUGUGCGAAGAAGGCCUUCGGGUUGUAAAGCACUUUUGGCGGGAAAGAAACGGCGCCGGCUAAUACCUGGCGUAACUGACGGUACCCGCAGAAUAAGCACCGGCUAACUACGUGCCAGCAGCCGCGGUAAUACGUAGGGUGCAAGCGUUAAUCGGAAUUACUGGGCGUAAAGCGUGCGCAGGCGGUUCGGAAAGAAAGAUGUGAAAUCCCAGGGCUCAACCUUGGAACUGCAUUUUUAACUCCCGAACUAGAGUGUGUCAGAGGGAGGUGGAAUUCCACGUGUAGCAGUGAAAUGCGUAGAUAUGUGGAGGAACACCGAUGGCGAAGGCAGCCUCCUGGGAUAACACUGACGCUCAUGCACGAAAGCGUGGGGAGCAAACAGGAUUAGAUACCCUGGUAGUCCACGCCCUAAACGAUGUCAACUAGCUGUUGGGUUCUUCGGAGCUUGGUAGCGCAGCUAA
rnacentral:rRNA from 1 species